UUGCUUUAAGAACCAUGUAAAAUGUGCCCCAAUAAUUGAUCUGUUAACAUCUUUAUACAUUUAUUUGUCUCUUUUAGUAAUCAUUAUGUUGCAACAUUUCAGAUCCUGAACAAUUGCUUCGUUGAUGAUUUGUGCUCCUGUCUGGAUAAGACCUACUCAUAAAAGAUCCUGGCUGGGAUAGCCUUUGUCAGCUCCCUCCUUAUUGAUGUGUUAUAGCUGGACUGCGGAGCUUGCAUGUGAUGGAGGCAGAAUUUGUCUUACUACUACUACUCCCCUUCUCUCAAAGUUCCUUACACAACUUGACCAACGCACGGAGCAGCUCAUGAAAGUGUUGAAGAACAAAGGCGGCUCUGCAGGGAGGAAAAUCAGGAUCAUUAUGGCCCCAAUGACACAGGAAGCCGAUGCUACAGCUGUUGACAGGGAGCUUGAGAAGUCACCUUUGGUAUCUACAGCAUCAAUGUUAAGGGAGGUGAUACCACCACUCCUCCAGCCGUUGUUGGAAUUGUGAUUGAGGGUGUUGAAGUUCUGCACGACUUGGGAGACUUUGCCUCUGCAUGUGCCCUCAGUUAUCCUAACAGACUGAAAGCCUUCUUUGAAGUACUUCAAAAGCUCUUCCUUCAAAUGGAUGCUUGCAGACUUUCAACCAAGGUACAGCUGCUCAAGAACUAACUGUACGAAUGAGACAAUCACUGAUGUGGAUGCUGAAUGUUCCAUAGAACAGGAGAAAUAUUUUGGGCCGAAACUGAAUAAAAUUAUUACCUGUUUGAAAAUAGAGCAGAGAAACUUCACUUGAGGAAAACAACCAAUUGUUUUGCAAACUUUUGAAAAACUUUUACCACACAUGAAAAGUGGUAGUUGAAUGACACUACUAGAGAAGUGAUGUAGAAUUGAGAGACCAUGCUGCGCAAAAACGGUUGAUAUAUAACUAUGGAUAUUUUGUGGAUGUUUUAACACUAAGCUGCAUUAAAAACAACUGCAAGGAAGUUCAAUCAUCAGACCAUCUUUCAUAUACCCGUUAAAGAAAUACUACUUUAACAGAGAGUGGAUGUUUGUUAAAGUGUUAACAUCUAAAAUAAAGUUUCCAGUGGAAAGGCUGUUAGA